CACGUAGUUAGCCGUCCCUUUCUGGUAAGAUACCGUCACAGUGUGAACUUUCCACUCUCACACUCGUUCUUCUCUUACAACAGAGCUUUACGAUCCGAAAACCUUCUUCACUCACGCGGCGUUGCUCGGUCAAACUUCCGUCCAUUGCCGAAGAUUCCCUACUGCUGCCUCCCGUAGGAGUCUGGGCCGUGUCUCAGUCCCAGUGUGGCCGAUCACCCUCUCAGGUCGGCUAUGUAUCGUCGCCUUGGUGAGCCGUUACCCCACCAACUAGCUAAUACAACGCAGGUCCAUCUGGUAGUGAUGCAAUUGCAUCUUUUAAGCAAAUGUCAUGCAACAUCCUGCUGUUAUGCGGUUAUAGCUAUCGUUACAAUAGUUACUCCCCCGCUAACCAGGCACGGUUACCUAACGCGUUACUCCACCCGUUUCGACCUAACCUCACUCCAGAGAACGCAAGCCUUCCCUCCUUCAGCCGUUUCUACCUUUGACUAUUGUAUUACGG
rnacentral:rRNA from 1 species